GUGCGGCAUCCAUUUCGAGCGGACAGAUGGGAGCUUGCUCCCUGAUGUUAGCGGCGGACGGGUGAGUAACACGUGGGUAACCUGCCUGUAAGACUGGGAUAACUCCGGGAAACCGGGGCUAAUACCGGAUGGUUGUUUGAACCGCAUGGUUCAAACAUAAAAGGUGGCUUCGGCUACCACUUACAGAUGGACCCGCGGCGCAUUAGCUAGUUGGUGAGGUAACGGCUCACCAAGGCAACGAUGCGUAGCCGACCGAGAGGGUGAUCGGCCACACUGGGACUGAGACACGGCCCAGACUCCUACGGGAGGCAGCAGUAGGGAAUCUUCCGCAAUGGACGAAAGUCUGACGGAGCAACGCCGCGUGAGUGAUGAAGGUUUUCGGAUCGUAAAGCUCUGUUGUUAGGGAAGAACAAGUACCGUUCGAAUAGGGCGGUACCUUGACGGUACCUAACCAGAAAGCCACGGCUAACUACGUGCCAGCAGCCGCGGUAAUACGUAGGUGGCAAGCGUUGUCCGGAAUUAUUGGGCGUAAAGGGCUCGCAGGCGGUUUCUUAAGUCUGAUGUGAAAGCCCCCGGCUCAACCGGGGAGGGUCAUUGGAAACUGGGGAACUUGAGUGCAGAAGAGGAGAGUGGAAUUCCACGUGUAGCGGUGAAAUGCGUAGAGAUGUGGAGAACACCAGUGGCGAAGGCGACUCUCUGGUCUGUAACUGACGCUGAGGAGCGAAAGCGUGGGGAGCGAACAGGAUUAGAUACCCUGGUAGUCCACGCCGUAAACGAUGAGUGCUAAGUGUUAGGGGGUUUCCGCCCCUUAGUGCUGCAGCUAACGCAUUAAGCACUCCGCCUGGGGAGUACGGUCGCCAAGACUGAAACUCAGAGGAAAUUGACGGGGGC
rnacentral:rRNA from 1 species